AAAGAACAUAUAUUUUUUUUAAAUGAAGGCAGAGGAAAAAGUGUUUCAUACAAAAGAGAAUUGACAAUCGGCAUCUGAAGAUGCAAAUGCUUCAGAUAAACAAGAAACUUGUAUAUUUCAUACAACUUUAAAUCUCCAACUCCCUAAACUGCAGUGAGACUACCUACAAAUAGAAGAAAAAGCAAAGCAGCAUACCUACAACGUUGCUCUGAUGUACUA
rnacentral:misc_RNA from 1 species